CUGACAAUAAUCAGCAGGGAAUAUUCCAGCAUCUUCCAGUAAAUUCUGAUUGUAUCUACACAAAGGAGCAGUUUUGGACAUCAGUGGAGCUGAAGACCAUUGUUGUGUGCAGCUUGCUGGAGGCAUUGGAAGCAAAAUGCAGGGAAAAAGCCCCAAUCUUCUAUGUGGAAGAAUUUGUCUUCAGUAAGAUGUAUCUUCUAGGCCAGUUGUCUCCUUGA
rnacentral:lncRNA from 1 species